UGGGGAAUCUUGGACAAUGGGCGCAAGCCUGAUCCAGCCAUGCCGCGUGAGCGAUGAAGGCCUUAGGGUUGUAAAGCUCUUUCACCGGUGAAGAUAAUGACGGUAGCCGGAGAAGAAGCCCCGGCUAACUCCGUGCCAGCAGCCGCGGUAAUACGGAGGGGGUUAGCGUUGUUCGGAAUUACUGGGCGUAAAGCGCACGUAGGCGGACCAGAAAGUUGGGGGUGAAAUCCCGGGGGCUCAACCCCGGAACUGCCUCCAAAACUAUUGGUCUAGAGUUCGAGAGAGGUGAGUGGAAUUCCAAGUGUAGAGGUGAAAUUCGUAGAUAUUUGGAGGAACACCAGUGGCGAAGGCGGCUCACUGGCUCGAUACUGACGCUGAGGUGCGAAAGUGUGGGGAGCAAACAGGAGUUAGAUACCCUGGGUAGUCCACACCGUAAAACGAUGAAUGCCAGUCGUCGGGUAGCAUGCUAUUCGGUGACACACCUAACGGAUUAAGCAUU
rnacentral:rRNA from 1 species